UACGUAAGGUCCGAGCGUUGUCCGGAAUUACUGGGCGUAAAGGGUUCGCAGGCGGCAUGGCAAGUCCGAUGUAAAAGGCGAAAGCUCAACUUUCGUAAGCAUCGGAAACUGUCAAGCUUGAGUAGAUGAGGGGCAAGUGGAAUUCCUAGUGUAGCGGUGAAAUGCUUAGAUAUUAGGAGGAAUACCAGUGGCGAAGGCGACUUGCUGGAAUCUAACUGACGCUGAGGUACGAAAGCGUGGGGAGCAAACAGG
rnacentral:rRNA from 1 species